AAACCCAGAAAUUCCAGAUCAACCUCCAGAGAGAAAAGGGAAAUUUUCGCAAACUUGCAGCCAAAAUUAGCCAAAACCUUAAACUAGAGAGUGAAACUUCACUCAAAGAUAUUUCCAUCCAUAGGUCGCACGUCCAAAAUGGAGAUCGGGAAGGCCUCCUAAAGCCCCCCGAAACAGUGCCCUCCUGGCGGGCCAAAGAAAGUCUGAA
rnacentral:lncRNA from 1 species